GACGAACGCUGGCGGCGUGCUUAACACAUGCAAGUCGAACGGAAAGGCCCUGCUUUUGUGGGGUGCUCGAGUGGCGAACGGGUGAGUAACACGUGAGUAACCUGCCCUUGACUUUGGGAUAACUUCAGGAAACUGGGGCUAAUACCGGAUAGGAGCUCCUGCUGCAUGGUGGGGGUUGGAAAGUUUCGGCGGUUGGGGAUGGACUCGCGGCUUAUCAGCUUGUUGGUGGGGUAGUGGCUUACCAAGGCUUUGACGGGUAGCCGGCCUGAGAGGGUGACCGGCCACAUUGGGACUGGGAUACGGCCCAGACUCCUAGGGGGGGCAGCGGGGGGGAAUUUUGCCAAAGGGGGGGAAGCCUGAUGCAGAAACCCCGGGUGGGGGAUGACGGCCUUCGGGUUGUAACCCGUUUUCGCCGGUGACGAAGGGGGGGUGACGGUAAUGGGUAAAGAAGCACCGGCUAACUACGU
rnacentral:rRNA from 1 species